CGCAUCUACGUCCACGACCUCAAACGUUGCCAGCAGUUGCUAGCUAGAGCUAAGGUUAGUUAAAAAAAAUAUAUUUUCUCAAUGAUGAGGGAGAGACAGAUGAGGAGGACAACAAAACAAAUUGUAACAAGCCACCAGCGUCAAAGAAAAACGACUCACAACAUGUAUACAAGUCACGCUCGGCGAAAAUGGAAAACUUUCCUGAGAACGUUCGCUGAGGGACAGCAGGGAUGUCUGCAGGCAGCAGAGAGUAAUGAGAGACGUACGCACGGAAAUAGAGGUACACCUUACAGCGUCAAAAUAAACCCUUCUGGUAAAUGUCACCCAUUGGAUAAACUUCACAAAGCAGCCAUCCCUGGAUUCGGGGCUGGAUGACUCGUCACGGCUGAGGGAGGGAUCCGGGCAGCUGGCGGCUGACAGGUGGUGUCAGGGAAGGUGAGGUCACCCCACGCCAGCGUCCCAUUGUGAAGAUGUGGAGGGAUGCAUCAGAGAGCAGGCGGUCAAGGCUGGACACCUUAGUUUCCACUUGAUCGAUGUACCAGUUGACUCAUGCAUUGAGUGUAAGUUGAUAUGUGCUUUUUCUCUCUCAGCCAGGUGCUGAGGCAAAUAUGUUUCAUUCAAAUUACUUUGACCAAAUACAGACCAAAGUUCCAACCCAGGUAUGUUCCUCAGAUAUGCACACGUGGCCAAUGUUUUACACGCAGUGUUUUUAGUAUGUGUUGGCCUAAAAGCAGAAGAUUCUGGGAUUGCCAGUGUUCUUUGACGGUUUUCUUCCCUUGAUAUUUGCUGGUGUCCUCAGUAUACCUGCUCAGCCUUGAGGUGAGAGGAAAAUCUCAGCAACACACUGAUUGCAAAAAAAGCCACCUGAGUAAUAACUUUUAUUUUGUGUUUAUGUGUUAGAAUGAAAUGUGGAUGAAACGGAUUCUGUGAGGUUCUGUGAGACCUAUAAGAAUGCACAUAGUGAGAGCGUGUUCUAGUUGGUUAAUUGUUCUUAGCUUGCUGUUUGAAAUGCAAGUGGGAUUAAACCUGCUGUUAAAUUAAUGCAAGAUUGACGUUCCCUCGUGAAUCCUGAAAUCAAACAUUCCGUCACAGUCGUCCACAUUUUGAAUGCAUCUCAAGGACAGCUCCUUAGAUGCAAGGUUAAUCUCCGAUUGGGCCACUUCUCUCACGAGUCAAUAUUUCUCAGUCCUCGCCAUGCCCGAACAUGUGAAUUUCCAGUCAAGACCAAACAAUCCCAAAACGUGGAUUGUGGGACAGCAUUCCGGGCUUUGGGAAUCUUUUUGGGUUAAAGCUUAAAGCCACACCCAUUUUUGUCAUUCGAACUGGCCCACUGAAGUGAGGUCCCCAUUUGUCAAAAUAGAUUACCCCUAAUCGAUAAUUAACUUCUGCGAAUAACAUCCGGGACGGCAGACAAAGAAGAAGACCGUGGGAAUGAUUGGGAAUUCUGUGUCACGGUCCCCGUUAAAGCGACGGCCCUCGGGAAUACACUAUUUCAUCUACAAAGGACAUCUGGAGGUACUAGUUUGUCUGAUUUACAGCUGAGGAUGGGGGUGGGGUGGUGGGGGCGGAGUCAGACUCCCAACGAAAGCCAGGAUAUGGAUGACAUAAAAUUUAAAUUGCUAUACGAGAAGGUAUAUGUUUUAUAAAAAAAAAAAUGCAGGCCCCAUAAAAGACUUUUGAUGAUACUGUUCUGAUGUAAAAUGUCAAAUCGUUUAUCUUUGUUCGAU